GAUGAACGCUAGCGGCAGGCCUAACACAUGCAAGUCGAGGGGUAGAGUUAGCUUGCUAACUUGAGACCGGCGCACGGGUGCGUAACGCGUAUGCAAUCUGCCUUGUACUGAGGGAUAGCCCAGAGAAAUUUGGAUUAAUACCUCAUAGCAUUAUGAAAUCGCAUGGUUUUAUAAUUAAAGUUCCAACGGUACAAGAUGAGCAUGCGUCCCAUUAGUUAGUUGGUAAGGUAACGGCUUACCAAGACAAUGAUGGGUAGGGGUCCUGAGAGGGGGAUCCCCCACACUGGUACUGAGACACGGACCAGACUCCUACGGGAGGCAGCAGUGAGGAAUAUUGGUCAAUGGGCGCAAGCCUGAACCAGCCAUGCCGCGUGCAGGAUGACGGUCCUACGGAUUGUAAACUGCUUUUAUACAGGAAGAAACCCUCCCACGUGUGGGAGCUUGACGGUACUGUAGGAAUAAGGAUCGGCUAACUCCGUGCCAGCAGCCGCGGUAACAC
rnacentral:rRNA from 1 species